UGAGUUUUUCAGAUAAAGGCAAUCCACACCACCACCGUUCUUAGGCAAAGUAGGUCUGCAAGCAGCUCUCCCAGGAAUGAAGAGCCGCUCCCCAACGGGACACAUUCAAAUCCAGAUGAAUUUAGUGUGAAAGAUGGCAGAAAAGGAGACAGACAACUGAAUGACAGCAGUUAUGGUAUCAGUAGAGAGGGCUCCAGGAAAACAUUGCCUCCAGUGAUGCAAAGCAAGAGGUUGUUUCAGAUCGGUCAGAACAAAAGACAUUUCAGGAUCCUGAAAGAUUAAUCCAGGAAUCUCAGGGCAGCGAGACUCUUUCAUCACAUCGUGAAAACAGCUCCAGGAUUGUGCUGUUCAGACAUAUUACCUGGAGCUGGAGCUGUAAUGUUGGGACCAAGAAGGAAAGAUCAAGAAAACUACAGAGACACUGGCCCUGGCAUCUCGAAGCUACCAAAAUAAUGCCAUCAGUCAACAGGUGUGGGACUGUGGCUUUUCCAGCAGGGGUUUUGCCGUGUAAAUUCUUUGGGAAACUGCCG